rnacentral:tRNA from 1 species
GCGGCCGUCGUCUAGCCUGGAAGGACGCUGGCCUUCCGAGCCAGCGGUCCCGGGUUCAAAUCCCGGCGGCCGCA